UCAAGAGGACAAAGGCACAAAAGAGGCAGGUAACCAAAAUGUCUGGAUUAUAUAGAGCCCAAGCCCUGGGCUGGAGAGUUCAGGCAGAGGGCAGGGUUUGCCAGCCAUACCUUGUAACAGGUAGGAACUCAGAGUUGCUGGGAGAACGUGGAAGCCAUGUCUUCUUUGAUAUGUUAAAUAGACAGCUUGGCCAUUUGCCUAGGAUUUGAAACUUAUACGCAUGUUACACUGACUAUUUGGUAUUGGAUGACCAAUUGGUGUACCUGUCCUCAGAGAAUCUUUCAAUAUCAGCAUUUCUUAGCAGCCUGCAGUUUUUUUUCUGUAGGAUUGAGGCCCUGUGGUCUUUUUCCUGUCCACAUUAGCAUGUCUGCUGUUGUCCUUGUUCAGCUCCUGUUUAGACAGUCAUAUUGGUGAGUCUUUAUGGGUGUAGCUUCUGACUUCACAGUCUCAUAGCAAACUCCUGAAUCCUCCAGUUCUUUUAACCUUUCUGCCCCCUCUCCCACAAUGUUCACAGAGCCUUAAGGAUGGGAGUGUUUUGUAGAGGGAUUUACUGGGGUGAGGCUCCACAACCCUGCACUCUGAUUUGUUGUGUUUUUUUGUUUUUUGUAAUGGUCUAUGUUGCAGGAGCCAUUUUCUUAAUGUGGUGUGAGGACUACACUAACUGUAUAAGGACAAAUGUUUAGAAUGUAGUUAGAGAUUGUACUGAUUUAGUAAACAAAGUAAUGACUGUAGAUUCUCUUCCAAGAUCUAUGACUUCACUAACUCUGAGAAGUUGUCUGGGUUUCCAGUACCAGGCAUGGUUUUCCUUUUGUCGAACAUGUCUUCAAUCCUAUUAAAGAGAGCUGUUGGCUACUGCCAAGGUCCAUUUAGUGCCCUGCUGGAUGCUGACUGAUCUUGUUAGCUGGAUCUUGAGAAGGUCACCUAACUACAGCGAGGUCAUGUGUGCACUGGCCAUGUCAUGUUCAGAAGAGAACAUUUCAGAAGCCCCUCUCUGUUGGUGGAGACUGCGUGUUCAUUUCCUGACUGCCCUGACCUGAAAUAAUCACACAGAAAUUGUAUUAUUAUAAUACUGAUUGGCUUAUAUUAGCUCAUGCUUCUUAUUGACUAGCUCUUAAUCUUAAAUUAACCCAUUCCUGUUAUUUAUAUUUUACCAUGAGGUUCGUGGUUUACUGGUACCGGUGUGGUCAUCCUUCUCCUCAGCAACUACGCAGCUACAUGGCUUCUCUCUGACUCUGCCUACUCUUUCCUCCCCUAUCUGAUUGGAAUCCCCACCUUAUCCUAUUCUGUGCUGCAAUAGACCCAAAGAAGCUUCUCUAUUAACCAAUGGUAUUUACAGCCUACAGUGGGGAAUCCCACAUCACCUCUCCACCCUCUGGCUCUUACACUCUUUCCACCCCCUCUUCCAAGAUGUUCCCUGAAUGGAUGUCCCCGAGCAGAGGUCUCUGAGCAGAUGUCCCCGAGCAGAGGUCUCUGAUGAAAAACUCCCUGGAGAAGAGGACCAAAAGAGAGAUGACCAGACUGGGAAACUUUCAUUUGAAAAUCUGCAUCUUUGCCAUUUGCUGCAUCCCUUCCUGCGUGCUUCUAACUAUCCUAUCUUGACAUCUCCAUCAAAUCUUCAAGCUUAGGAGCCCAUAACACUUGUGAAUUUUUCUAAAUACUAUUUUCCUGGUUACAAAAUUAUUGUCUGCUCUAUAUAAAUUGUGGUUUGAGUCUCCAA